CUUAACCAGGCCUUGACAUCCAAUGAACUUUCCAAAGAUGGAUGGGUGCUUCGGGAACAUUGAGACAGGUGCUGCAUGGCUGUCGUCAGCUGUGUCGUGAGAUGUUGGGUUAAGUCCCGUAACGAGCGCAACCCUUGUCCUUAGUUACCAGCACGUUAUGGUGGGCACUCUAAGGAGACUGCCGGUGACAAACCGGAGGAAGGUGGGGAUGACGUCAAGUCAUCAUGGCCCUUACGGCCUGGGCUACACACGUGCUACAAUGGUCGGUACAGAGGGUUGCCAAGCCGCGAGGUGGAGCUAAUCCCAUAAAACCGAUCGUAGUCCGGAUCGUAGUCUGCAACUCGACUGCGUGAAGUCGGAAUCGCUAGUAAUCGCGAAUCAGAAUGUCGCGGUGAAUACGUUCCCGGGCCUUGUACACACCGAAUCGA
rnacentral:rRNA from 1 species